AUGCUCCCUUGGGCAGUACAUAUACUAAAACUGGAAUGAUGCAGAGAAGAUUAGCAUGGCCCCUGUUCAAGGAUGACAUGAAAAUUUGUUAAGUGUUAAAUAUUUUA